rnacentral:lncRNA from 1 species
GACGAAAUCGAUGGAGCCCGAAUCGAUGGGCUUCAUCAGGGCGAUGGAGAGGAGGUGGAAGGCGAAGGACGCGAUGAGCGGCGCCUUCUCCACGGGGGACUCCGCCUCGGCCAGCUUCUGGUUCACGACGACGAGCUCGUCAAGGUGCUCCUUGAACUUCGGGUUGUAGGUGUCGAUGACCUGGGGGAAGAUGGACGCGGUGGUCUUGUUGGUCUGGUGGAUGACGUGCAUGUUGAACUGGGUGGUGUUCAGGCCGAUGGACUCGUAGAACUCGGUGCGGGAGUGGUCGUUGAGGUACAUGGUCACGUACACGGACAGGCAGAAGAACCUGGCCCACAGCUUGGCCUCAAAGUCGUUGAUGAACUCAGGCCUGGCCUUGAGGCACGCGGUGAAGAAGUCACCGUGGCGGUUCUCGUCCUGGCACCAGUUCUCGAAGUACUGGAAG